rnacentral:rRNA from 1 species
CUGCAGCUCAAGUGGUGACCGCUAUUAUUGGGCCUAAAACGUUCGUAGCCGGCUGAGUAAAUGCUUGGGUAAAUCGUGCCGCUUAACGGUACAAAUUCCGGGUAGACUACUCAGCUUGAGACCGGGAGAAGCUAGAGGUACUCCUGGGGUAGAGGUGAAAUUCUGUAAUCCUGGGGGGACCACCAGUGGCGAAGGCGUCUAGCUAGAACGGGUCUGACGGUGAGGGACGAAACCCUGGGGCGCGCACCGGAUUAGAUACCCGAGUAGUCC